rnacentral:rRNA from 1 species
CCUACGCGUGGCAGCAGUGGGGAAUAUUGCACAAUGGGGGAAACCCUGAUGCAGCGACGCCGCGUGAGUGAAGAAGUAUUUCGGUAUGUAAAGCUCUAUCAGCAGGGAAGAAGAAAGACGGUACCUGACUAAGAAGCCCCGGCUAACUACGUGCCAGCAGCCGCGGUAAUACGUAGGGGGCAAGCGUUAUCCGGAUGUACUGGGGGGAAAGGGAGCGUGGACGGCUGUGCAGGUCUGAAGUGAAAGCCCAGGGCUCAACCCUGGGACUGCUUUGGAAACUGUGGAGCUAGAGUGCUGGAGAGGUAAGUGGAAUUCCUAGUGUAGCGGUGAAAUGCGUAGAUAUUAGGAGGAACACCAGUGGCGAAGGCGGCUUACUGGACAGUAACUGACGUUGAGGCUCGAAAGCGUGGGGAGCAAACAGGAUUAGAUACCCUAGUAGUC